UACGAAGGGGGCUAGCGUUGUUCGGAAUUACUGGGCGUAAAGCGCACGUAGGCGGCUUUGUAAGUUAGAGGUGAAAGCCCGGGGCUCAACCCCCGGAAUUGCCUUUAAGACUGCAUCGCUUGAAUCCAGGAGAGGUGAGUGGAAUUCCGAGUGUAGAGGUGAAAUUCGUAGAUAUUCGGAAGAACACCAGUGGCGAAGGACGG
rnacentral:rRNA from 1 species